CACCUUAAACCACUCUAUGAGAAAGAAACUAAAAUGGUGGGUGCUUGGGUUCGACAUCAAUGAGGUACACCAUUAUGUAGACAAUACCACUGACCUGGUUUGUAACAAAUAUGACCCAGAGAAAUGGAAAUUCAGGCAAAAUUACUCAGCUUCACUUUAUUAACUAAGGUGACAGGGAACCCUCACUGUUAAUCACCAGUUGAACUGUAAGCUGUGAACACUUUUAAGAUUUAGGGAAAACAAAACAAAAAAAAAAAAAACAAAUAAUUUUCACAUAAGGCAGCACAUAAGGCAGGCCAACUAAACAAUUAAUGUUCACAAGCAAUGUCCAAGUUAGUAUAUCGUCCUGAACAGUCAGUUCUACUCACGACCUCCAAAUGGUGGUGGGAAAAUGGGAAAAACCCG